rnacentral:rRNA from 1 species
UACGUAGGGAGCAAGCGUUGUCCGGAAUUACUGGGCGUAAAGGGCGCGUAGGCGGGAUAUUAAGUUAGGUGUGAAAACUCCGGGCUCAACUUGGAGACUGCACAUAAAACUGGUAUUCUUGAGGACAGGAGAGGAAAGUGGAAUUCCUAGUGUAGCGGUGAAAUGCGUAGAUAUUAGGAGGAACACCAGUGGCGAAGGCGACUUUCUGGACUGUAACUGACGCUGAGGCGCGAAAGCGUGGGGAGUGAACGGG